GAUGAACGCUGGCGGCGUGCUUAACACAUGCAAGUCGAGCGAGAAGUUUUGAAAAGAUUCUUCGGAUGAAAUUUAAAAUGGAAAGCGGCGGACGGGUGAGUAACGCGUAGGCAACCUGCCCCAUACAAAGGGAUAGCAUUUGGAAACGAAUAUUAAUACCUUAUGAAACUUAACUAGUGCAUGCUAGGUAGGUCAAAGAUUUAUCGGUAUGGGAUGGGCCUGCGUCUGAUUAGCUAGUUGGUGAGGUAACGGCGCACCAAGGCGACGAUCAGUAGCCGACGUGAGAGGAUGCGGGGCCACCUUGGAACGGAGGCACGGUCCAAACACCUUCGGGAGUCAGCGGUAGGGAAUAUCGCCCAAUGCGGGAGACCGAGAUACAGCUUCGGCUUGUGAACGCUGAAUGUCGGGGAGUAAAAAAGUCCUGUUCUAGGCGAUGAGAUCUGACAGUACCCUAGGAGAAAGCCCCGGCUAACUCCGUG
rnacentral:rRNA from 1 species